rnacentral:rRNA from 1 species
UACGGGGGGGAGCAAGCGUUGUUCGGAUUUACUGGGCGUAAAGGGCGCGUAGGCGGUCAGCACAAGUCAGUUGUGAAAUCUCCGGGCUUAACUCGGAAAGGUCAACUGAUACUGUGCGACUAGAGUGCAGAAGGGGCAACUGGAAUUCUCGGUGUAGCGGUGAAAUGCGUAGAUAUCGGGAGGAACACCAGUGGCGAAGGCGGCGACCUGGGCCAAUAUUGACGCUGAGGUGCGAAAGCGUGGGGGAGCAAACAGG